rnacentral:rRNA from 1 species
GAUCUCAACUCAUACGUGACUACCCCCUGAA